GGACUGUAUGAUACUGUAUUCGACGUGGACAACGAUAAAGCUAGAGCUGAAGCACAAGGUCUUGAACCCAAUGGUUUAAUUUCGAUGGAGCUGAUAGUGGUGGAGUCGAUUAUGCCCUCGAUAGGGAAAUCUCUGCUUGGUACGAUGGCCGGGACUGGUUUUACUCAUUGUUUAAGAGGGUGAUGGAGCAAGACUGGUCUUGGAACCGGCCUGCGCUUGAUUACAUGGAGCUGUACCAUGCGGCAAAGAAAUACUAGAAGCCGAUUAAGCAAAGAUGCCUGAUUAUUACCAUCUCCAAUAGCUUUUGUACAUUGUUUAAUUAUACCUAUCUUUUACUGCCAUAGUUUUAGCACUUAAAACCGUUCCAUCCAUUUUUGUGUAUCAUAAAGCAAUAGCCUCUCUUCAAAAU